UGAAACCUGAUAAUGGUAUCUUGUGAUUUUAAUUUGCAUUUAUUUUAGUAUGAGUAACGUAAAUUAUCUUUUCAUAUGUUUUAGAGCCAUUCACAUUCCCUUUUGUUCAUAUCCACAAGUGUGAGCCACUGCACACCUGGCCUAUUUAUAAAACUUUAAUAAGAUCUUCUUGGGCCAAGGGUAAACCCGGGAUGUGAAGGACCUCUUCAAGGAAAACUACAAGCCACUGCUCAAGGAAAUAAGAGAGGACACAAACAAAUGGAAAAACAUUCCAUGCUCAUGGAUAGGAAGAAUCAAUAUUGUGAAAAUGGUCAUACUGCCCAAAGUAAUUUAUAGAUUCUAUGCUAUCCCCAUCAAGCUACCAUUGACUUUCUUCACAGAAUUAGAAAAAAAAAUAUUUUAAAUUUCAUAUGGAACCAGAAAAAGAGCCCAUAUAGCCAAGACAAUCAUAAGCAAAAAGAACAAAGCUGGAGGCAUCACGCUUCCUGACUUCAAACUAUACUACAAGGCUACAGUAGCCAAAACAGCAUGGUACUGGUACCAAAACAGAUAUAUAGACCAAUGGAACAGAACAGAGGCCUCAGAAAUAAUGCCACACAUCUACAACCAUCUGAUCUUUGACAAACCUGACAAAAACAAGCAAUGGGGAAAGGAUUCCCUAUUUAAUAAAUGGUGUUGGGAAAACUGGCUGGUCAUAUACAGAAAACUGAAACUGGACCCCUUCCUUACACCUUAUAAAAAAUUAACUCAAGAUGGAUUAUACACUUAAACAUAAGACCGAAAACCAUAAAAACCCUAGAAGAAAACCUAGGCAAUACCAUUCAGGACACAGGCAUGGGCAAACAGUUCAUGAUGAAAAUACUAAAAGCAAAGACAACAAAAGACAAAAUUGACAAAUGGGAUCUAAUUAAACUAAAGAGCUUUUGCACAGCAAAAUAAAUGAUCAUCAGAGUGAACAGGCAACCUACAGAAUGGGAGAAAAUUUUUUCAAUCUACCAUCUGACAAAGGGCUAAUAUCCAGAAUCUACAAGGAACAUAAACAAAUUUACAAGAAAAAAAAAACAACCCCAUCCAAAAGUGGGUGAAGGAUAUGAACAGACACUUCUUAAAAGAAGACAUUUAUGCAGCCAGCAAACAUGAAAAACUGAUCAUCGCU
rnacentral:lncRNA from 1 species